UUGCCUCAUUUGGGGGAGACGUGCUGCCAAGUCAAUUGGAACAGCCUGUGCCCAUCUUUAUUAUUUUCGUUUCCCUCUCUGCAUCUUUUAGCUUUUCUUCUGGAACAAAACAUUACGUAGCGGCCAGAACACCAUCUUGGCAAAUGCAACACAAAGGAACUCUCCGCGUGCCUCUGGAGAAGCCGGCCUGGUGUGGCUGUCGGUGGGAGCUGGGGAUGCCCCUGGGGGAUGCCCCUUGCUUCCAGGGGCUGGUGUAGCCCUCACGGACCCUCAUCCCUGCAGAGCCCCCAGUAACUCAGAAGACUCCCUUCCGCUGAGGCUGAGGUGGGCUCCACCUGGCCUCUUCACGGGAGGCCUUCUCUGACCGACCCUCUCUUCCCUGCGCCAGAAGCCAGACACAGCGAUGGACUGGCAUAUUCCACUUUCCCAUGUAAGACUGGACUCUGCUCCUAAUGUCAGGGUCAGCUCUCUCCCUCUGCUUCCUCCACUGCAGCAGACAGAGCACAGGGCUGGCCAGACACAAGGGGACUAGCCCUUUGCGGCACAGAGCGCGUGGCAUGGCGGGAUGAGGCUGAAGUGAGUGAGGAGUAUGGUGUCAAGAUUUAAGAAGGGCUUGUCCUUGGGGCCCACCUGCACUCGCACAGCCCUGACAGGAGCCACUCCUGAAUUCUGAUAUACCUGCCUGGCCCGAGUCCUGGCCCUGCACACUGCCCUAAGAACCAGUGAGCUAUUCUCCAGGCAGGGGGAGGCCUCCAAGUGGAUGUGAAAUGUGUGGGUCACACACAGGUGCCUGCUUUGGCUAGGCCCCAUGUUUAAAUCCUUUGGGUCAGCAGAAGCCAAGGAAGCUCUGGGGUACCAAAGGCAGUGCCAGCUCCGCCUGCCCCUCUGCUGGGGUGAGUAACCUGUGGGGUGGUUAUAUCUUUAGUUCCCUUCCUUAACAUACCAAGGGAAAUAACCCAGCAAACUGAGAUCUCCCUCAGUGGACUGGUCCCCAGGGAGUGGGGAGGGAGCCCCUGUGUCACUCGUCCAGCAGUGCUGAUUUAUGACAGCUGUCUGGCCUUAGGGGGGCAUAGCGCUGCUCUGAAAGGGCCCUCUGCCUCCAUAUCACCCUGUCCAGCCACAAGGGACCUUGUGUGACUCUCUCCUGUCAUCAUCAUCAGGACCACCCCACCAUCAAGGCCAGUGGGAAACUGUCCAAUCUGGGUGCCAGGCUGGAGUGGCUCAGCCUAGCCCUUGGCUUAGUAACCAGAAGUUUCCAUCAAGACCUGCUACAGGCUCCAGGGUGUGGAACCAGCCAAGCAGCCUUCCCCAGGCCGGGAGAAGAGGGGAGCCAGGGAUGUCACAGAGGCAGUUAGGAACCCGAGCCAUCCCUCUGACCUCUGCUUCCACCCCGGGACCCCUAGGUGACCCAAGGUUUUGUAGCAGAGGCUUUAGGGUAUCAUCUUCGUUGCUUGAAAAAGACGGGGAGCUUUCUUUCUCCAAUGCCAGCUAACUGCAGAGUUGCCCGGCCUGAGUCUGUCCUUGGACUUGGAGGGAAAUAACCCAGCAAACCGAGACCUCACUCAAUAGACUGGCCCCCAGGGAGUGCGAAGGGAGCCCCUGUGUCACACGUCCAGCAGUGGUGAUUUAUGACAGCUGUCUGGCCUUAGGGGGCCAUGGCUCUUCUCCUCAGCACGGUUCUUAUUAAUUUAUUUAUUUUAGCUGCUUUAUUGAGGUUUGAUUGGCACACAAAGAGCUGUAGAUACUUAAUGUACACAACUUGAUGUGUUCAGAGAUCUAAUGUGCAUGCUCAAAACCAUCUACCCAUCGCUAUCCAGGCCACCAACAUACCUGUCACAUUCAAAAGUUCCCUCUGCCUUCUUUUUUUUCUUUUUUCCUUUUAUAGUAAGAACACUUAAAUAGGGAGGGAUGGAAAAAGGCUACAAAGUUUCAGUUACGUAAAAGAAUCAACUUCUGGGGAUCUACCCCAAGACAGGACCAAGAUAACCACUGGGCAUUUGCCAUAUGCACUUCUCCACGUGCUCAGAGGCGAGCGCCCACGGGAAGUGCUCAUCCACAUGGGUGUCUUUCGAAGCCACCACACGUUUGCUUGACAGCAUCCCAAUGGUGUAGGCAGGGAAACAUGGAAUUUUGUAAGUAAGGAGGAGGAACAAAAGGAAGCUCAGGGACGGGGACAAUGAUCUAGUUCUGCGUCCUCAAAUUGAGGUGGGUGGGCCAGCAGUUCCUACUACCUGGGUGCUUGUUAUCAAUGCAGAUCUCAGGCCUCACCCCAGCACCCUCAAGUCAGAAUCUGCAUUUUUAACAGGUUGUAGUUUGAACACAGUCUGAGAUGCGGGGCUCCACCCAGAAUCAGGCAUUCCAAUACGCCGGAUGGCCCUGGGGGUCAGGGUAUCUUUUGGAAAACUCAUAUUCUAUAAUUACAGGGCUUAAUACAUGACCUAAAAUGACAAAUGUUCAAAAUGCUUUUCUGAUGAUAGGUUGCAGGAAAGAUGUCACCGAUUCCUUUUCUGGGCCCAAUUUCUCUCACAAAAAGCAAUCUCCCUGCUUCAGAAAGGUGGUAUCCCAUACCUGUUUGAGAUGAGCAAUAUUAAAAGAACAAGGCUCCCAGAUCCCUCCUUCCCAUGAGCACCUUUGCUUUGAGACUUUCUGGCUGUGGGUUUCGAUGUAGUGAUUUUUUUUUUUUUUUCAAAAAAGCACACGAUUCAGAGACUUCUCUCAUGGGACUAAUUGACUAGGCAUUUGUGCUAUUGCUCCUGGUGUAAAUCAUUAUAAUGGUGAUAAUGAAAAAUAAAAAAGAUAUUGGAAAUGACAGUUGGCAACAUAAUAUCAGCAUAAACUGAGGGAAGAGGGGAGGCGUGUAUAAAUUAGGGACUCGUAAACAACAGGAUCGAUGAGGGAGUUAUGCCGGGUAGGGUUUGAUCAUUUAGAUGAGAAUUAGCUAGAGUUAUCAUUAUGAAUAACCAUGGUUGGCUCCUUCCGAUUCCUUGUUCUUGUGGCUCCAUGGAGGAUGGAGACCCUGAAAUUGGAGCCCUGUGUCCCAACAGUCCUGCAAACCCUGGAUCAAAGUCUUUGGAGCUGAAUUUUGCAGUUACUUCCCUCCUCCAAGUGGGCCUCCCAGUGGCUCAGGGCUGCCUCGCAGACAUGCCUGAUUAUUCUGAAUCUUGCAGAAUUGACUAAUUCAACGGGCUCCCGCUUCACAGGAAAUGGUGUUCGUCAGUGACCCAAGCUGAUGAAUGAAUCCUACUCGGUGCCUGGAGCCAGACCCAGCAGCAAGAGCUGCAAAGAAGAAAGACUGAUGCGUGCUCUCUAUUUGGCUGCCAAAAUGCUCUUGCAAUUUGCUUUCUUCUAGACAAGAGUCUAUUCAAAAGUCUAUUUGGAAACAUUAGGGAACGGCCGUCACAUGGCCGGCAGAUCAUACUGCCUGUGACAGGAUAUUAUCUUCCUUGGGAGAGACUCAACUGCUCUUUUAUUUCACCAAGUAACUAGCGUCUGGGCUGAUGGCUGCAGAAUUGCUCGGAGGGCUGGGGACAUUAAAAUCCCUGUCCAGAGCAAAUGCGGAACCGACAGCCACUUCAGCACGCAGGAUUUGUGGAACCAUCGCCCGCAUUAAGUGCUAGCAUCCAGCUUUCGUCUCCUCUCUGAUUAACCAAGCAGGGAUACUUUGCUUCCAGGCUGCCACUUCCACCCCUGACGAGCAGCCUGGGACCGCGGGCCCCAGGCACACCAGCAGGAAUCAGCACCGUUUCCUUGGGUCCUCCCUUCCCGGACUCUCCUGCCUCCACCUGGCUCUGAACAAGGGGGACCUUUGCCAUGACCCCCAGGGCUCAAGACAGGGAAGCUGAGGGAAGCAGGCUGCUCCCCAGUUUCUGGGCUUGGAAGACUUCCUGCGGGACCCUCAGGGCAGCCCUGGAGGCAGGCUGGGCAGUCAUCAGCUACCCCUUCCACCGCAGGCACAACCCAGCCAGUGAGCGCCAGAGCGGAGGGCUGGCAGCUUCUUUAAGGCCUCAUCCGAGACUCUUGGGCAACAAGAACAUGGCAUUUGACCUUCUGCUGUGAAUGGUGAAACUGAGGCACAGAAAGGUCAAGCAACUUUCCCAAAGUCACCCAGCUAAAAAGCGGUAGAGACAGAAUCUGGGUCCGGGCAACGUGGCUCUCGAGUCCCGCUCUCGCCUACCCCCAUCUCUGCUGGUUCUGCUCUCUGCUGUGUCUCAGCUCAGACAGUCCUUGACCUCUUGGGGAGCUCAGCACAUACCGAGUGAGUGAGUGAACACCGAGACCCACCUCAGCAUAGUUCCCGAGCCCAGCUUCACUCCCAAAGGGGGAGACGUGCUGGAUCGGCCUUCUGUUGCCCUGCUACCCGCCAUGCCCACCACGCUGCCCACUGGUGGUGGGGGCAGCAAUAGUUCAGAAUGAAUUCUCCCUGGGUUUUAAAGUGGUUCCUUUUGCCGGUGGCUCUCAGGGAGAGUUCGGUGGGGCUGGUUGGGCAAAUCAGCUCCUUCUGAACGUGGUCAAGACCCACAUGUGGUGUGGCCAGGCUCCCACUCUCCCUGUCCAGCACCUCCACAGAGUCCUGGAGCGUCUAGAGGGGCCCAGAGCCGAGCCCACCCCACCAGCACAGGGUGGGCAGACUCGACAGGCUCCUGCGGCCCCAAGCAUCCAAUCUGCAACCUAUCGGCACCAGGAGCGCCAGGAGGGACUGCCCCCCACCCAGGAGCGCACAUAUCCGCAAUGCAAUUCCUUCGAGGAAAAUUACUCAAGCAGCCAUUUAUUAAAACACAACUGCUCCCGAGGAGCCUUUCGGCAGUGGAAAUACCAAAUAGCUUUGAAGCUCCAGCCGUCCCCGAAACCAAUGAAGCAGGCUUCUAGGCACUAUCUGACUUGUAAUCUGCUUGUUCUUUCCCCAUCUGGAAGGUCUAAUGAAAUGUUACACUAUGAGGAACACGGAAAUAAGGAACGUCAGAGGUGAGGAUUCAGGAUGGAAAUUGUCACCACAGGAUUGGGUUUUUCCCUGCCUCCUUCCUGGGGAGAGAAUCAAGAGGGACCGAGGCUGGACACUGAUUCCCAGGGGACUGCUUCCUUCCAAAUGCUGACAAGCCCUAAGAACAGCACGUGCUUUGCAGAAAAGGUCAGGUCCAGAAAGCAGGAGACUCAGCAAUUCCCUGAAUAGCCCAACCCUGAGUGCAGGCCGCCUCCAUCAGAACUCACAGGCCCCACAGGAAAUGAACAAGAGUCCAGCAGAGAGAGCCAGAGACCCAGGAGGAGGGCCUCCCGUCAGACCAGGGGACAGCCAACAGGCUAAUCCCUGCGACGAUUGCGCCCUCUCAUCCGCAGAAGCCGCCCUGGGCAUCCAAUCUUCCAGUCGGGCCGGUCUAAUGGGAUUGAAAUAAGUCCUCUAAAUGCCCAGCUCAUUUUUGUUCCUUAAUAAACACAUGCAUAGAGAAAGAAGCAAUUAAAGCAAGGAUGAGGAAAGGAACAACCAAGGAAGAAAGAUGAUUGCCAAACUCUGAGAGGCUGUUUUAGACAAGAGAUGACAGGGAUGGAAAAGAAAACACUGCCUCCCAAGACCACGGGUGUAGGACAAUGUCAUACCAGGCAGUCUGUGCCCCAGCCCCUCCCAGGAUGAAUUCUUCAGUUUGCGAGUCAGUUCCAGCAGCCGACCACCAUGGUCACUGCCAGAAACAGGAGCUUCUGGAAGAUGUAUCUAGGCUCUGGACGGGGGCCCAAACUCCACAAAUCCUUUUGCAUGAAAAGAAGGCACCAGUCCUUUGGCUUGGACCUUUUUCCUUUGGUGUGUGUGUGUGUGUGUGUGUGUGUGUGUUUGGUUGUGGCUUUAAUUUUUUACAAGUCUGAUGUGUCUUCAAUUGUAAAUGGCUUGAGUAAGAAGGGUGGGUGUGCUAUUCCUGAAACCAGGAAUCCAGGAGAGCUGCGACCUCAGUCACCCAGAAGUAUUAGCUGUUCCUGACCAGCUCCUACUGUCUGGCUAAAAAGGGGAUGAACAGAGCUGCUGUCUGACUCGCAGCCCACCAGCCAGGCCUGCAUGGCACUCAACUUUGUGCCAGGGGCUGGGAGGGGCUGCACAGGUGCGCCUGGCCAGGGACUGCCCUUGAGGGCUGGACCAUCCCCAAGGGGACAUUGGACCACAGACAGUAAUCGGCUUCUGCUGAGCAGGGGUGUGAGUCCCCUGAGAUCUGGGCCUGGUUCCCCCAUCUUGCCUUCCCUGAAGCUGGGUGGAAAGAUUUCCAUCUUUCAACCAUUGGCUCCCCACUCCCCCUCCUCCCACCGCCCAUUGGUUCACUCCUCAUCAUUAACACACCAAAUGCUGUGGAGCACCUGAUUGGAUACUUUGCCAAGCACAUGGUCAAUUACUGACAGAAGAAAAAGGUGAGAAAGAGCCAACAGAAUCCAGUUGUGAAAUCUGUUGCCUGUCUGAUAUCCAUCACCCUUUCAUUUGAUGAUAGGAUCUCCCCCAUGUGAACCCAUGCAAUAUGGUUGGGGGGGUUCUGACCCACCAAUAGGGCAAGGACAUGACCAGUUCAGACAAGUCAGUGUGUUCUGUCCCCCUGGACAAAAUGAGGGAGCCAAACAGAUCCAGAUCCCUGGGAUCUGAUAGGAACUCAGAAAACUUUCCUGAAGACGGUCUGCUCUGUGGCAGAAGAGAACAGAAAGAGCCGGAAAUGAGAAGAUAGGGCUGGGGGGCUGGUGUGACCACCCGCGGAAGUAGGGAAUGCAGAAAAGGAGGUAGGUUCCAGAAGAAAAUGGAAGAUUUGCUUUUGGAUAUAUGGAAGUCGAGGCAGGAGGACGUCAGGACAAACGUUUCAUAGGAAGCUAGGAGUUGGACACACGAGGUUUUGGAAUCAUUGGGGUUGAGUGGAGAAUCAGUCAAACUAAAGAAAAAGUAAGGCGAGGCUCGGACUGUGCAGAAUACGACCAUGAAGACGCUGGAAGAAGAGAAAAACGAGAGGCAACGCACCCGGGAAGGACUCAGAAAGAGGCAGUUGAGGGCAGUGCAGUGUCAUGGCUAGGAUCAUCCGUAAAGGCCUCGUUUUUCUCACGUACAGAGAAGUUUUUGAGAUAAAGACAUUAUAUCUCUCAAUGUCCAGUCUUAAACAGAACAGAAACAUUUCAGCCAUUUAAAAGACAAAAUACUCUGAAGCAAAAUUCGCAAAAUGCUGAAUAGAAUGUGACGUCACAGAGACACCCGGGCUGUCCAACAGCUUGGUCCCCAGGACUGAAGGAGUCAGCGUCCCGAUACUCCUGGGCCUCGGGCUGCUGUGCUUUCCAAGUGUGUAAGUGACCUAGAGUUUAGCAGGUGUCACCUCUGAUCAGCUUCACUAUGAUCUGAAUAUGGUUUUUUCCCUCUGAAUCUCAUGUUGGAAUCUGACUGCGACUGUGGCAGCGUUGGGAGGUGGAGCCUUUAAGGUUGUGCCUUCCUUCCCUGUGGGACCAGACUCCUUACCUCGGGAACAGGCUGUUAUAAAGCAAGUCUGAGCCCUGUAUUUUGUCUCUUCUGCUUAUCUACCUCGCAGUGACACAGACGCCCUCACCAGAAGCUGAGAAAACACCAGUGCCAUCCUCUUGGACUUUCCUACCUCCAGAAUCAUGAGCCCAAAUAAACCUCAUUUCUUUAUCAA